rnacentral:tRNA from 1 species
GCCACUGUGGCUUAGGGGUAUAGCGGCGGUUUCGUAAACCGCAGGCCGGGGGUUCGAUCCCCUCCAGUGGCUCCA